CCCGCACAAGCAGCGGAGCGUGUGGUUUAAUUCGAUGCUACACGAAGAACUUACCAGGUUACGAUGCAAGUGGUAGGAAACCGAAAGGUGACCGACCUUCGGGAGCUUGCACAGGUGCUGCAUGGCUGUCGUCAGCUCGUGUCGUGAGAUGUUCGGUUAAGUCCGCUAACGAGCGCAACCCUCGCUGUGUGUUAUAUGUGUCACACGGGACUGCCGGUCUUAAGCCGGAGGAAGGUGGGGAUGAUGUCAAGUCAGCAUGGCCUUUAUAUCCUGGGCUACACACACGCUACAAUGGCCAGCACAGUAGGUUGCUAAGCCGCGAGGUGGAGCCAAUCCAUAAAGCUGGUCUCAGUUCAGAUUGCAGGCUGCAACCCGCCUGCAUGAAGAUGGAGUUGCUAGUAACCGCAGGUCAGCUAUACUGCGGUGAAUAUGCCCCUGCUCUUU
rnacentral:rRNA from 1 species